UACGUAGGGCGCAAGCGUUGUCCGGAAUUAUUGGGCGUAAAGAGCUCGUAGGUGGCUUGUCGCGUCUGUCGUGAAAGCCCGGGGCUUAACUCCGGGUCUGCGGUGGGUACGGGCAGACUAGAGUGAUGUAGGGGAGACUGGAAUUCCUGGUGUAGCGGUGAAAUGCGCAGAUAUCAGGAGGAACACCGAUGGCGAAGGCAGGUCUCUGGGCAUUAACUGACGCUGAGGAGCGAAAGCAUGGGGAGCGAACAGG
rnacentral:rRNA from 1 species